CUCACAAGUGUAUAUAACUGUAAUGACCGAGACCUUAAAUGUUAAUGAAGCUACUACGGUGUAUCAUUUACGGUGCCUUCAAAGCUAUGGCUUGCUAUCUUCUAACUUGACAGAGUUAUCAGAAACGAUAUGUGAAUUUAACAAAACCGUUAUGAAACUCGACGGCAAACUUCGCUCUUUAGAAAAAAAAAUGAUGCUACUGUAUACGCCCUUUCGCUCUUCCUUGUACUCUUACCACCAGUACCAAAGUUGCCUGCACAAAUAAUUUAUUCGAGUUCAUAAAAGCAUAAAAAGGGUAAUACUUUGCAAAUCAAUGGCUCGUGGUAUCAAG